rnacentral:rRNA from 1 species
UAGUCCACGCCGUAAACGAUGAUUACUCGCUGUAGGCGAUACACAGUCUGUGGCUAAGCGAAAGUUUUAAGUAAUCCACCUGGGGAGUACGAUCGCAAGAUUGAAACUCAAAGGAAUUGACGGGGGCCCGCACAAGCGGAGGAACACGUGGUUUAAUUCGAUGAUACGCGAGGAACCUUACCUGGACUUAAAUGUAGAUUGCAUAGAGUGGAGACAUUCUUUUCUUCGGACUAUUUACAAGGUGCUGCAUGGUUGUCGUCAGCUCGUGCCGUGAGGUGUCGGGUUAAGUCCCAUAACGAGCGCAACCCUUAUCCUUAGUUGCCAGCGGGUCAUGCCGGGGACUCUGAGGAGACUGGCCACCGUAAGGUGUGGGGAAGGUGGGGAUGACGUCAAAUCAGCACCGGCCUUAUCGUCCAGGGCUACACACGUGUUACAAGUCGGACGGUACAAAGGGCAGCUACCUGGUCACGAGGAUGACUAAUCUACUAAAGCCGUUCNCUAGUUCGGAUCGAAGUCUGCAACCCGUA